rnacentral:rRNA from 1 species
CGUACACUCCUGCGGGAGGCAGCAGUGGGGAAUAUUGCACAAUGGGCGCAAGCCUGAUGCAGCCAUGCCGCGUGUAUGAAGAAGGCCUUCGGGUUGUAAAGUACUUUCAGCGGGGAGGAAGGCAAUACGGUUAAUAACCGUGUUGAUUGACGUUACCCGCAGAAGAAGCACCGGCUAACUCCGUGCCAGCAGCCGCGGUAAUACGGAGGGUGCAAGCGUUAAUCGGAAUUACUGGGCGUAAAGCGCACGCAGGCGGUCUGUCAAGUCGGAUGUGAAAUCCCCGGGCUCAACCUGGGAACUGCAUUCGAAACUGGCAGGCUUGAGUCUUGUAGAGGGGGGUAGAAUUCCAGGUGUAGCGGUGAAAUGCGUAGAGAUCUGGAGGAAUACCGGUGGCGAAGGCGGCCCCCUGGACAAAGACUGACGCUCAGGUGCGAAAGCGUGGGGAGCAAACAGGAUUAGAUACCCCGGUAGUCCCAUGAU